rnacentral:lncRNA from 1 species
UUAAUUUAUAACAUAUUUAUCUUUCUCUUCUAUCCAGACUUAAACAACAGUAUUGCAACUUGUCCCAUAUAAAAAUAAAUGAAAUGUUUGCUUUCAUGUGUAACAUAGCUUCCAAAAUUUCUUCCAACGAUACAGUGCCAUGUUGGGUUAUAUUUCUUGUCAAAAUCCUUUUUGAUGAAUGCGGCGAUGUCUUUUUCAAUAUUAAACUUUUCCAAUGCCUGAGUAGAAGAUUCGACAGCAUCUUGUUGCAUAUCUUCAGACAUGUCAGCAUUCUUAAUAACAGCUUUUCUUUCAGUCAUGAUGUUAGCUGAAGUAAAUAAAAACAUCAGUCUAUAUCAAGUAAAUCUUAAGACAAACAUAAAGUUAGAUCGGAUUCAUCCGAUAUAGUCAAAUGCUACGGUUAGAUAAUUUAAAC